GUCUGGAUGGUCUAGUUGGUUAUGACGUCGGUCUCAUAGAUCAACUGUGAUCUUGUGUACAUCGUAAACACAAGAAGUUAUCCGAAGGUCGCGAGUUCGAAUCUCGCUCUGGACA
rfam:Cladophialophora psammophila CBS 110553 aczJe-supercont1.21, whole genome shotgun sequence.